rnacentral:tRNA from 1 species
GCAGUCGUGGCCGAGUGGUUAAGGCGAUGGACUAGAAGUGAACGUGACUUGAUAUCCAUUGGGAUCUUCCCGCACAGGUUCGAAUCCUGUCGACUGCG